UGUACGAACACACAAAGGUAUGCAGCGUGUUACUGAGGCAGUUUUCCUGCUGUUGCAAUGUACGGGUCUGGUGUGCAUGCUUGGGCUGCUCGAAUCCGGCGGUCUCCUAGAGAACAAAGGAGGUGUACACAGGUCUUUCCUAAAUAAAAAAGUAAGAAAACAAAAGCUAUUAGGGGAAAAGGCCUGUUCGCAGGAGCUACUCCACGAACGAGAACGAAAGUCUGUCUUUAUUAUCCGACAGUCCGCCGUGAACGGGCUAUCGCUAAACGAAUAGAAGUUACUUUAGGGACGACAGGCUGAUCUCAUCCUAAAAUUCUUGUUGACUGGGAAGGAUGGCAUAUCGGUAUCGGCUCUUCAUACCCUGAAGCUGACGUAGGUCAAGCUUUGAUCGGUUCGCCCGCGAACGGACCAAGCAGACCCAGCACGUGAGCUGCCUUCAGAACGUCGCGAGACAGCUCUGUCCAU
rfam:Eimeria mitis, Houghton, WGS project CBTT01000000 data, contig: Emh_contig4801_3